rnacentral:rRNA from 1 species
UCAAGUGACUAAGUGUAUGUGGUGGAUGCCUUGGCGAUCACAGGCGAAGAAGGACGUAGUAGCUUGCGAUAAGCUGCGGGGAGCCGGCAAACGGGCUUUGAUCCGCAGAUUUCCGAAUGGGGGAACCCACCGACGCAAGUCGGUAUCACACACUGAAUACAUAGGUGUGUGAGGCGAACGGAGCGAACUGAAACAUCUAAGUAGCUCCAGGAAAAGAAAUCAACCGAGAUUGCGAAAGUAGCGGCGAGCGAAAUCGCAGCAGCCCAGUGUUCUGAUAGCACGAACGACAGCAGAAGGGUCUGGAAAGGCCUGCUAUAGAGGGUGAUAGCCCCGUAUGCGAAAUCGGACGUGUGGUACUAAGGAACCGAUAAGUAGGGCGGGACACGUGACAUCCUGUCUGAAGAUGGGGGGACCAUCCUCCAAGGCUAAAUACUCGUGAUCGACCGAUAGUGAACCAGUACUGUGAAGGAAAGGCGAAAAGAACCCCGGGAGGGGAGUGAAAUAGAACCUGAAACCGCAUACAUACAAACAGUAGGAGCCCGUGUAGUCGGGUGACUGCGUACCUUUUGCAUAAUGGGUCAGCGACUUACGUUUUGUGGCGAGCUUAACCGAGUAGGGGAGGCGUAGCGAAAGCGAGUUCGAAUAGAGCGAGAAGUCUCAAGGCGUAGACCCGAAACCAGAUGAGCUAUCCAUGGCCAGGUUGAAGGUGUGGUAACACACACUGGAGGACCGAACCGACUAGUGUUGCAAAAUUAGCGGAUGAGCUGUGGAUAGGGGUGAAAGGCUUAACAAAUCUGGAGAUAGCUGGUUCUCCCCGAAAACUAUUGAGGUAGUGCCUCGUGUAUUGCUCCAGGGGGUAGAGCACUGUUAUGGCUAGGGGGACAUGGCGUCUUACCAAACCAUGGCAAACUCCGAAUACUUGGAAGUAAGAGCACGGGAGACAGAGCACCGGGUGCUAACGUCCGGACUCAAGAGGGAAACAACCCAGACCGCCGUUUAAGGUCCCAAAUAUUGACUAAGUGGAAAACGAAGUGUGAAGGCUAAGACAGUCAGGAAGUUGGCUUAGAAGCAGCCAUCCUUCAAAGAAAGCGUAAUAGCUCACUGAUCGAGUCCUCAUGCGCGGAAGAUGUAACGGGGCUAAGUCAAUAACCGAAAGCGCGGAUUUGCACGAUAAGUGCAAGUGGUAGGGGAGCGUUCUGUAAGCCUGCGAAGGUGGUUCGAGAGGACUGCUGGAGGUAUCAGAAGUGCGAAUGCUGACAUGAGUAACGUUAAAGCGGGUGAAAAGCCCGCUCGCCGUAAGCCCAAGGUUUCCUGCUCUACGUUCAUCGGAGCAGGGUGAGUCGGCCCCUAAGGCCAGGCUGAGAAGCGUAGUCGAUGGGAAGCAGAUUAAUAUUUCUGCACCAUGUGCAAGUGCGAUGGGGGGACGGAGUGCGAAAGAUCAUCCGGGUGUUGGAUGUCCCGGUUUGUGAGUGUAGAAGGCCGACAGGCAAAUCCGUCGGCGGAUCUUCGAGACAAAGCAUCGAGGUUCUACGGAACCGAAGUGAUCGGAAGUGCUUCCAGGAAAAGCCUCUAAGCUCCAGCUUGCAUGUGACCGUACCGUAAACCGACACUGGUGGGCGAGUUGAAUAUACUCAGGCGCUUGAGAGAACUCGGGAGAAGGAACUCGGCAAAUUGACACCGUAACUUCGGGAUAAGGUGUGCCUUUGUAGCGUGAAGAGAGAAACACUCGGAGCGUGAAGAGGCCUCAGAGAAUCGGUGGCUGCAACUGUUUAUUAAAAACACAGCACUCUGCAAAGACGAAAGUCGACGUAUAGGGUGUGAUGCCUGCCCGGUGCUGGAAGAUUAAGUGAUGGGGUGAGAGCUCCUGAUCGAAGUCCCAGUAAACGGCGGCCGUAACUAUAACGGUCCUAAGGUAGCGAAAUUCCUUGUC